GAUGAACGCUGACAGAAUGCUUAACACAUCAGCAAUUGAUUGGUGGCGGACGGGUGAGUAACGCGUAUAGAACUUGCCUCACAGGUAGGGACAACAAUUGGAAAAGAAUGCUAAUACCUAAGACUGUGAGAGAGCUUUGCGUCCCAUUAGCUAGUUGGAGAGGUAACGGCUCACCAAGGCGAUGAUGGGUAGCCGGCCUGAGAGGGAGAUCGGGCACAAAGGGACUGGGGAGCGACCCUUGCUGCUUCGGGAGUCAGGAGUGGGAAAUAUUGGACGAUAGGCCGAUGUCUGAUCCAGCAAUUCUGUGUGUACGAUAAAUUUUUCGGGAUGAAAAGGGCUUUCAGUUUAGAAGCGGUACCGACAGAAGAAGCACCGGCUAACUCCGUGCCAGCAGCCGCGGUAAUAC
rnacentral:rRNA from 1 species